AUUGAACGCUGGCGGCAGGCCUAACACAUGCAAGUCGAACGAGUGGCGGACGGGUGAGUAAUGUCUGGGAAACUGCCUGAUGGAGGGGGGUAACUACUGGAAACGGUAGCUAAUACCGCAUACCCUCAGAUGUGCCCCGAGGGGAUUCGCUAGUUGGUGGGGUAACGGCUCACAAAGGCGACGAUCCCUAGCUGGUCUGAGAGGAUGACCAGCCACACUGGAACUGAGACACGGUCCAGACGCCUACGGUAGGCAGCAGGGGGGAAUAUUGCACAAUGGGCGAAAGCCUGAUGCAGCCAGGCCGCGUGUAUGAAGAAGGCCUUCGGGGUGUAAAGUACUUUCAGCUGGGAGGCGUUACCCGCAGAAGAAGCACCGGCUAACUCCGUGCCAGCAGCCGCGGUAAUUC
rnacentral:rRNA from 1 species